rnacentral:rRNA from 1 species
GAUGAACGCUAGCGGCAGGCUUAAUACAUGCAAGUCGUGGGGCAGCAGGUCUGUAGCAAUACAGAUGCUGGCGACCGGCAAACGGGUGCGGAACACGUACACAACCUUCCUUUAAGUGGGGAAUAGCCCGGGGAAACCCGGAUUAAUACCCCGUAACAUAUAGAAGUGGCAUCGCUUUUAUAUUAUAGCAGCAAUGCGCUUGAAGGUGGGUGUGCGGCUGAUUAGACAGUUGGCGGGGUAACGGCCCACCAAGUCGACGAUCAGUAACUGGUGUGAGAGCACGACCAGUCACACGGGCACUGAGACACGGGCCCGACUCCUACGGGAGGCAGCAGUAAGGAAUAUUGGUCAAUGGACGCAAGUCUGAACCAGCCAUGCCGCGUGGAGGAUGAAGGUCCUCUGGAUUGUAAACUUCUUUUAUUUGGGAAGAAAUCUAUCUUUUCUUGGAUAGUUGACGGUACCAGAUGAAUAAGCACCGGCUAACUCCGUGCCAGCAGCCGCAGUAAUAC